CAUCUUUUCUCUCUCACACACAAACACCAAGAACACACACUCCCUCCAUUAAAGCUUCUUCAAGCUUUUGAGCUCCGAUUUGAGCACCGAGACGAGCGCCGAUCAUCUUUUUGAUCACGUUUUUACGUAGGUCCUUUUGGGAAGUAACGACUUGAGGGAGAGAGUGACGUUACUCAUUGAUACAGAGACACAACGAGGUUGAGCUGAUGUGAUGAUGGUGCUGCAAUGAGUGGAGUCUCCAGGGUUGUUAAUAAAUAGUUAACCUGUCUAGAAUAUGUCUUCAUACAUAUGUCUAGCUACUUUCCG